CCUACGGGUGGCAGCAGUGAGGAAUAUUGGUCAAUGGACGAGAGUCUGAACCAGCCAAGUAGCGUGAAGGAUGACUGCCCUAUGGGUUGUAAACUUCUUUUAUAUGGGAAUAAAACGUUCCACGUGUGGGAUUUUGUAUGUACCAUAUGAACAAGGAUCGGCUAACUCCGUGCCAGCAGCCGCGGUAAUACGGAGGAUCCGAGCGUUAUCCGGAUUUAUUGGGUUUAAAGGGAGCGUAGGUGGAAUGUUAAGUCAGUUGUGAAAGUUUGCGGCUCAACCGUAAAAUUGCAGUUGAAACUGGCAGUCUUGAGUACAGUAGAGGUGGGCGGAAUUCGUGGUGUAGCGGUGAAAUGCUUAGAUAUCACGAAGAACUCCGAUUGCGAAGGCAGUUCACUGGACUGCAACUGACGCUGAGGCUCGAAAGUGUGGGUAUCAAACAGGAUUAGAUACCCUAGUAGUC
rnacentral:rRNA from 1 species